rnacentral:RNase_P_RNA from 1 species
UGAGUGGGCCGGGCAGUCGCUGGUCAGAUACAGUUCUGGAUUGCAAAUUGACAUAUUCAUCUUUCGAGAUGUUUCUGCAAUUUUUGUACCAAAAACAUUCUGGCGAGAGGAAAGUCCGGGCUCCGAAGGAUGCGAUGGUGGGUAACGCCCACCAGCCGUAAGGUUAGGGAAAGUGCCGCAGAAAAUAGACCGCCAGCAGGCUCCUGUCUGCUGGUAAGGGUGAAACGGUGAGGUAAGAGCUCACCAGCAGGCCAGGUGACUGGUCUGGCUUGGUAAACCCCAUCGGGAGCAAGGCCGAACAGAAGAGAGUUCGCUCUAAACAGCGGCCUGAGGCGAUCCGCUUCAGUUUCUUUUCGGGUGGGCUGCUCGAGGUGGCAGGUAACUGUCAUCGUAGAGAAAUGAUUGCCUCUUUUGGGAAUUUGACCUGAAAGAACAAAACCCGGCUUACAGGCCCACUCAGAUU